rnacentral:rRNA from 1 species
UAGGGAAUCUUGCGCAAUGGGGGCAACCCUGACGCAGCGAUACCGUGUGAGGGAGGAAGGUCUUCGGAUUGUAAACCUCUGUCAAAAGGGAAAAACGGCGUAGCGGUUAAUAACCGUUACGAUUGAUGGUACCUUUAAAGGAAGCACCGGCUAACUCCGUGCCAGCAGCCGCGGUAAUACGGAGGGUGCGAGCGUUGUUCGGAUUUAUUGGGCGUAAAGCGCGCGCAGGCGGAAAGCUAAGGCAGAUGUGAAAUCGUGGGGCCGAACUCCGAAAGUGCUUCUGAA